UACGAAGGGGGCUAGCGUUGUUCGGAAUUACUGGGCGUAAAGGGCGCGUAGGCGGACAGUUUAGUCAGAGGUGAAAGCCCAGGGCUCAACCUUGGAAUUGCCUUUGAUACUGGCUGUCUUGAGUUCGGGAGAGGUGAGUGGAAUGCCGAGUGUAGAGGUGAAAUUCGUAGAUAUUCGGCGGAACACCAGUGGCGAAGGCGGGUCUCUGGGCCUUACCUGACGCUGAGGCGCGAAAGCUAGGGGAGCGAACAGG
rnacentral:rRNA from 1 species